UUAGUGGAAGCGUCUGGAAAGGCGCGCGAUACAGGGUGACAGCCCCGUACACAAAAGCGCAUGUGCUGUGAGCUCGAUGAGUAGGGCGGGACACGUGGUAUCCUGUCUGAAUAUGGGGGGACCAUCCUCCAAGGCUAAAUACUCCUGACUGACCGAUAGUGAACCAGUACCGUGAGGGAAAGGCGAAAAGAACCCCGGCGAGGGGAGUGAAAAAGAACCUGAAACCGUGUACGUACAAGCAGUGGGAGCCCCACCACUAAGCCAGUGGUGAACUCCACAUACGCAUCCUUUGCUGAGGAUACGGUUAACGGAGCGAAAGCGACGUUCAACCUCAAAAGAAGCAGAGGGGGCUUAGUGGUGGGGUGACUGCGUACCUUUUGUAUAAUGGGUCAGCGACUUAUAUUCUGUAGCAAGGUUAACCGAAUAGGGGAGCCGGAGGGAAACCGAGUCUUAACCGGGCGUUAAGUUGCAGGGUAUAGACCCGAAACCCGGUGAUCUAGCCAUGGGCAGGUUGAAGGUUGGGUAACACUAACUGGAGGACCGAACCGACUAAUGUUGAAAAAUUAGCGGAUGACCUGUGGCUGGGGGUGAAAGGCCAAUCAAACCGGGAGAUAGCUGGUUCUCCCCGAAAGCUAUUUAGGUAGCGCCUCGUGAAUUCAUCUCCGGGGGUAGAGCACUGUUUCGGCUAGGGGGCCAUCCCGGCUU
rnacentral:rRNA from 1 species